rnacentral:rRNA from 1 species
GAUGAACGCUGGCGGCGUGCCUAAUACAUGCAAGUCGAGCGGUAACAGGCUCUCACAGUUCGCAUAAGUUCCAUGCUGGCAACAGUAUGGAUGACAAACCCAUUAUGACCCGGCCGGCUAACUGGAGAUGAUGGCAGCGUUUUAUUAUGCGAUGUGUGAGAGUGCUGACGAGCGGCGGACGGCUGAGUAACACGUAGGAACGACCCAAAGUGAGGGAUAAGCAUUGGAAACAGUGUCUAAUACCGCAUGUGAUCUAAGGAUUAAAGCUCCGGCGCUUUGGGAACGGCCUGCGUAUGAUUAGUUGUUGGUGAGGUAAUGGCUCACCAAGACUUCGAUCAUUAGCUGGUCUGAGAGGAUGAUCAGCCAGAC